GACGAACGCUGGCGGCGUGCUUAACACAUGCAAGUCGUACGGUAAGGCCCUUUCGGGGGUACACGAGUGGCGAACGGGUGAGUAACACGUGAGUAACCUGCCCACAACUUUGGGAUAACGCUAGGAAACUGGUGCUAAUACUGGAUAUGUGUUCCUGUUGCAUGGUGGGGGUUGGAAAGCUCCGGCGGUUGUGGAUGGACUCGCGGCCUAUCAGCUUGUUGGUGGGGUAGUGGACUACCAAGGCGGCGACGGGUAGCCGGCCUGAGAGGGUGACCGGCCACACUGAGACUUAGGUACGGCCCAGGCUCCUACGGGAGGCAGCAGUGGGAAAGAUUGCACAAUGGGCGCAAGCCGGAUGCAGCAGCGCCGCGUGCGGGAUGACGGCCUUCGGGUUGUAGAACGCUUUCAGCAGGGACGAAGCUUUUUGUGACGGUACCUGCAGAAGAAGCACCGGCUAACUACGUG
rnacentral:rRNA from 1 species